rnacentral:rRNA from 1 species
GCGUUGUUCGGAUUUACUGGGCGUAAAGGGCGCGUAGGUGGCGUGACAAGUCAAUUGUGAAAUCCCCGGGCUUAACUCGGGACGGGCAAUUGAUACUGUUGUGCUAGAGUACAGAAGGGGCAAUCGGAAUUCUUGGUGUAGCGGUGAAAUGCGUAGAUAUCGAGAGGAACACCUGAGGUGAAGACGGGUUGCUGGGCUGAUACUGACGCUGAGGCGCGAAAGCUAG